rnacentral:rRNA from 1 species
UACGUAGGGGGGCAAGCGUUGUCCGGAAUCAUUGGGCGUAAAGCGCGUGUAGGCGGCCCGGUAAGUCCGCUGUAAAAGUCCAGGGCUCAACCCUGGAAAGCCGGUGGAUACUGUCGGGCUCGAGUCCGGAAGAGGCGAGUGGAAUUCCUGGUGUAGCGGUGAAAUGCGCAGAUAUCAGGAGGAACACCAAUGGCGAAGGCAGCUCGCUGGGACGGUACUGACGCUGAGACGCGAAAGCGUGGGGAGCAAACAGG